rnacentral:tRNA from 1 species
GCUCAAUUGGUGGAGCAUGAGAUUCUUGAUCUCAGGGUUGUGAGUUCUCAAGUCCCACAUUGAGUA